rnacentral:rRNA from 1 species
AUUGAACGCUGGCGGCAGGCUUAACACAUGCAAGUCGAGCGGGGGCUUCGGUCCUAGCGGCGAACGGGUGAGGAAUGCUUGGGAAUCUGCCCAGUAGCGGGGGAUAACGUUUCGAAAGGAACGCUAAUACCGCAUACGCCCUACGGGGGAAAGGGGGGGAUCUUCGGACCUCUCACUAUUGGAUGAGCCCAAGUCGGAUUAGCUAGUUGGUGGGGUAAAGGCCUACCAAGGCGACGAUCCGUAGCUGGUCUGAGAGGAUGAUCAGCCACACUGGAACUGAGACACGGUCCAGAGUCCUACGGGAGGCAGCAGUGGGGAAUAUUGGACAAUGGGCGAAAGCCUGAUCCAGCCAUGCCGCGUGGGUGAAGAAGGCCUUCGGGUUGUAAAGCACUUUAAGCGAGGAGGAAUGGCUCUUGGUUAAUAACCUUGAGCAGUGACGUUACUCGCAGAAUAAGCACCGGCUAACUCUGUGCCAGCAGCCGCCGUAACAC